UUUUUUCUCGGCACCAACCUCUUUUUUAUCGUAUCCUUUUUUUUCAUUUCUAUAAUCUCCAGAUCGUGGGGAACACACGGAGGAGACGCCAGUUUCGCCCCAACUCGUUGCUCCCGACGCCCGAGCUCUACUCGCGCCUCGCCGCCGCCAUCGCCAUCUCCGAUGCACUUGCUGCCGCCGCCCUCUUGCUUUGCCGCUAUCGAGGGCCUUCAUGGCAUUGUCUCCCUCCUCCCCCUCCCCUCACCACCUCAGCUUGCCGUCGCCAUUAGCCGCAGCCGCAACCUUGGUUUUGAAGCUCCUCCUAUCGUAGCUCGCCGCCGCCAAGGGCCAUCCUAGUAUCAUCUCCCUCCCCCCUCCCAUCAGCCCCUCAGAUCGCCGUCGCUAUUGGCCGUGGCCGCAGUUUUGAAGGCCCAAUGGCGACUCUUCUUGCGACGCUAGCCGUUAGCUCGCCACCAGGCGCACCACCGCUGCUCCUGCCAACACUGCCGACAGAUCCAGGCGCCCCUCCUCCAGAUCCCCUUCUGUAGCUCCUCGUUUGCACCAUCUCCUCCUCCUUCCCCUUCCCCUUCUUGAUUUUAUUUGAUGAUUCGAGUGCAGGAUGUGUUCCCUGCGAGCGUUUGAUUGUCGGCCCAGGUCAUGACCAAGAGCUCCUCUUCAACUGCAGCAAGUUGAGCUUGUCUCGGCCGCCAAUGAUGGUUGUAUAACUGUUACCAAUACCAAUUGUGUUGUGUAAUAUAGUGUAUUCAUUAGGAGAUGCCUCUCGAGGGAUGUCGCUGUGCAGCCCCGAACCCGGCCUCCUACACGUGAGUCGCGACUCGUAAGCACCAACGCUACUCCGCGCGAGAACACCACCGUCUGCCGCUUCGCUGUGAAGGUCGCCGGCCCUCUCCCUCCCACACGCCGAUGAUCUGCCCUCCAUGGAGGAAGCCUCCAGCCAAAAACGUCCACGCUGGAAACUGACCAACGUCGUGCCUAGCAAAGGGACUGCUUGUGCCUGCAACCGGAAACAUAACAGCUGUGUCAACGCCGCUGGCCAUAACAGGUCCGCAAGUGUUGAAUUGUAUCAGCGUGUACCUAACCAGUAGAAAUAAUUAAGGAAUCAAAUAAAAUAAUAUUAUCUACUACAUUAUUGCUGUGAUUCUCGGUUUGGCCUUGCGUCUCAGUUGCUAGAGUAUGUACGCAUACUCCCUGGAGUAUGUAUUUAUACACUAUUUUAAAUAGGGUAUUAUUCUUUACAGACGUA